rnacentral:misc_RNA from 1 species
ACCCCGAGAACAGUAUUAGCUCUGUACAAUCCUUCGAUUUUGUAGAGCUGAAGAGAGAAGAAGAAAAGGAGAAAUGGCGGAAAAAAGAUGGAAAUCGAGAGAAAGCGAAGAAGACGAAAAUGAUAAACAAAACAGUAUCAGCGUUUGUGGUAUGCAAUUCGCAUACGAAGGGCAGCCUCCUCUCUUCUACGAUUUCAAUCUCAACAUUCCUCCUGGAUCUCGCUGCCUACUUGUCGGCGCUAAUGGAUCCGGGAAGACCACUUUGUUGAAGAUUCUGGCUGGCAAGCAUAUGGUGGGAGGAAGAGAUGUAGUGCGAGUGCUAAAUCUUUCGGCUUUUCAUGACACUCAAUUAGUUUGUGGUGGUGAUUUGGCCUAUUUAGGUGGUUCUUGGACUAAAACCGUUGGAUCCGCUGUGAGAUUUUUAGCUCUGUUUCUUAAUCAAGCUCUUAGUAGAUGUACCAAUUCAUAUUAUUUGUUUCUUUUUGUGUCCAAACAAGAUAAAAUUUUUCUUAAUAGAUCAUAGCUUAAAGUUAGUGAGGCAAUGUCCCCUUGAGAAACACCAUAUUACGUGAUUAAAAUUUCAAUGCAAUUAGUUUGAGUCGAUGAGUUUUCUUGAUUCCAAGAUAGCAAAUUGUUGGUUUUGCCUUAUGCCUGAUAUUUCCAUCGGAAAUCAUAUUGUUUGAAAAUGUAAAGAAUAAAAUAGCGAAUGGUGUUUUUCCAUAUCAUCUUUGAAGUUUUGUUGGGCUGAGAGCACCAAUUUUUCAUUUUUUUUAUUCCAAUUUGUUUUUGCCGUUCCUGGUGGCAUUAAGUUGCCACUGUAUCGGGAUGGUACUUAUUUUUACCUAUGCUGAUAUGAAAAGCAAUGAUAAUCUCGCCAUUAACUAGUUGGUUUAUGGAUUUCAUAGCAAACAUACAUGUAUAGACUUCAGUAAUAAUCAAAUCAUGGAAAUGUCAAGUUUUGUCCAGCGUAUUUAUAAAUUUGUUGCAGCCACACAUAUAUUUAUAUGAUAUUGUUGUUUGCUUUUCUGCUUUAGAGUAUUCUUUUUAUAAUUCUUUUUCUAAUUAUGAUGAAAGUGAUUAAACAUAUUCAUAAUGUUGAUUUUCCACCCUUCCAAGGCAAAGUGGAUGUGAGUCAUUCUUUUAAGUUGUUAUUGUAUUUCCAAAAUAAUCUUCUCCAAGUUAGAAUUUUUACUUCUUUGUUUCCCCUCCAUCAAAUGCAUUCUAUCAAAUCUGAAUCAAUUUGUUCCUGUUUUACAAAUUUGCAGGGAGAGAUACCACUCCAGGGUGACUUCUCCGCGGAACAUAUGAUAUUUGGAGUUGAAGGAAUUGAUCCUGCUAGGAGAGAAAAGUUGAUUGACUUGCUUGAUAUUGAUCUACAAUGGCGCAUGCAUAAGGUAUCAGAUGGGCAGCGGCGUCGAGUCCAGAUUUGUAUGGGUCUUCUUGUCCCAUUUAAGGUACUAUAAAACCUUGCAAGUCCUGUUGGUACAUUUGCAAGGGGAGUGGAUUGGGCUAUUCCAGAUUCAGUAAAACCAAGUCUGUUAUCUAGGAGUGCAUGUCUCUUUUAUACUCCUUAUUCUACACCUCCUCUUUCAUUGCAAUUCAGAACUGCUUACGUAGUUGCUCAAAAAAAUUUUACUUUCUUGCUGGUUUGGCUGGUUAAUUAGCCAAGGAUUUCAUGACCUAGUACAUUUGCCUCCUUCUCUGUCUUAUUUUGCAUCUUGGUUCCUUAUAUGAUAAAGAUAUAGUUGAGUGAUCUUAGGAUUUUAGUUUUCUUACCAGCCAAAGUUUUCCAUUAUAGGUUCUUUUACUCGAUGAGGUCACAGUUGACCUGGACGUUGUUGCCAGACUGGAUUUGCUCGAGUUCUUCAAGGAAGAAUGUGAACAGAGGGGAGCUACACUUGUGUAUGCAACUCAUAUAUUUGAUGGGUUGGAAACAUGGGCAACACAUCUGGCUUACAUCCAGGAUGGUGAACUGAGGAGGUCUGAGAAGUUAACGGAGGUUCAUGAGUUGAAAAGUUCUGCCAAUCUGCUUUCUGUUGUCGAGUCCUGGCUCCGGUCUGAAACCAGGCAUGAGAAAAAGAAACCCACCAACCCUCCUGCUCAAAACCAAAAGACCUCUCCCUUUGGUACUUCUCCAUUUAUGUCAUCCAGACACAUGGCAUAUUACCGAUGAUCUUCUCAAAUUAAUUUUUCUUUUACUUCCAAUUUCAAAUUCAAAGUUAAGCAUGCAAGAAAGUUGGGUAAUCAAUAAAGUGAAGGCAUCAUUACAAAUGAUGGAAAUCCAAAGACACCCAGGAGGCCAGGACU